UUUCCGUAGGUGAACCUGCGGAAGGAUCAUUACAGUGUUCUCUGCCCACACGGGUAGAAACGCCCACCCUUGUGUAUUAUAUCUUUGUUGCUUUGGCAGGCCGCCCUCGGGUACCGGCUCCGGCUGGAUCGCGCCUGCCAGAGGAAACCCAAACUCUGAAUGUUAGUGUCGUCUGAGUACUAUCUAAUAGUUAAAACUUUCAACAACGGAUCUCUUGGUUCUG
rnacentral:misc_RNA from 1 species